AAUAUAUAAUACGGUUAAGGAAUCCUGCGCUCUCCUUAAUCCGGGGUCCUACGUGGCAUCUCUAAGAAUUUACCAUUCAAAAUCCCUGCAAUUCUAGAGCCUCUAGCUCAAUUCUCUAUCGCUGACGUGACAAUAUAAUUCCACAUCACUUAUUUUAUUUUAAAAAACACAAAAUCUAACAUUUCUCUACCCCAAUUCUCAAAACCUAAAAUCAAUUCCCCUUCUUCCAUCUCUCACAUCCGAUUCUCCCUUCCCCGCCGCCGCAAUCUGCCCUACAACGCCCCGCCCCUCCACCGCCACGAUCUGCUUCGCCGGACCACAUUCAAACCUGAAACCCUAAUCUAGCGCGCCUCCACAAUGUGCACACACUUGCGCCCCUCUUCUUCUCUCCUCUGAGGCGCGACCAGACCCGUCGCACCGCAUUCGGCCGCCGCCGCGUCGCCCCGCUCGCCGUCACGCCGCGCUGCGCCGUCGCGACCAGAGCAGUCUGCCAGUUGCGCGCUUGGAGCAGGGGAUGAUACAGUCAGCACCUCCUCUUCCCUACCAAUCUAAUUCACCCGCCCCAGCUCGGCCUCACCUCCCUCAACCAUGGGCGCCGCUUCUUCUCCGCCAGCCGUGAUGCCUCCGUUCGCAGCACCAUUCCCCCCGCCCCAAUUCCUAUCUAUCCCCUUUCCUGCCGAUCCAAUUCUCUCGUCCCAAUUCCUGCAGAUCGGGUUCGAAUCAGUUCCACCUUCCACCUUCGAUCUGCCCUCCCGCCUCCCGGCUUCCCCCUACCUACAGAACCCGGCGGUGGCCAAUGGCUCAAGACCACGGCGAACCUGGCGGUGGCCAAUGGCUCAAGACCACGGCCGGCUAUGAUUUUUGGCUGGAAGUAAGCGAUUGCUUUACUUCCUGUUUUUCCGUGGCUGAGAUCUCGAAACACAUCACCAACAAGGUCUCCGAGCACUGCAUAAAAACUUACUGUAAAGUGGCAGAAGGAAGUGUUCUCCAAUAUGGAAAUAGACACUACCGAGCCCCCAUAUGUUUUCAAGCGCCAGCUUUAUGACUUAACAGGAGUUCCACCAGAAAGACAAAAGAUUGUGGUUAAAUGUGGCUUACUUAAGGUAUAGAAGCAAUUAUUUAUAAAGUGAGGGCGUCUUAUUGAACUUUGAAUGAGACUUCCAAUACAGUUGGAGUUCAUAACAUUGACACAUUACUUUUUGACUGUAUAAGAUGAUGCUAAUUGGUCAAAAGUAGGAGUCAAGGAUGGCCAGAAACUAAUGAUGAUGGGAACUGCAGAUGAGAUUGUAAAGGCUCCAGAAAAGGGCCCUAUUUUUGCAGAAGACAUGCCAGAAGAAGAACAAGUGGUCACUGUUGUAAGUCCCUUUGUAUUUCCACAACUUCUAUCGGAAAUAGUACCUGAGACAAAGGCUCAUUCUCUCCAAUAUUACACACAUUCAAAUUUAUUUUUUUCUGUUUUGAAUUUUGGAAUUGCUGUGAGGAUUUGUAGUAUUAAUUCCAUUCAGAUGAUGGUAAAAGGCAGAUUGAUAUUGCUAAGAUGAUGGUGAUCCAUGCAUAUUGUGAUUGAUGAUGAGAUCUCACACAUUGGAAUCAGCUUAAUACUACUUUUUAAAGCAUUUUGGUGCAUCA